UCAGUAAUCUUACGAUAAUU
rnacentral:snRNA from 1 species